GUUCACCUUUGUUGGAGCUAAAAAUGCAUUCUCUGGUAGUCACAAGUCCAUGUCGACCAACGAGUACAUUACCUUUUCAAUUGGUGGUCUAGGAAUCAAUACUCUAGCUGUUAUUGUUGUUGUCCCUGGAACCGGAUCUUGUACCAAUUCUGAUUUAAUUUCAACGCCAAGUCCAAUUCGUCCUGGUCCAUUCCCAAUCAAUUCUUAAACCACCGGCACGAACUGGAUCAUCCAUUGUUUCAUCAAUCCUAGGAAGACCGGAAAAGCCUUGCCGAAAAUUGGUUAAUAAAUCUUCCUGCCAUAAAAUGAAACUAAAAUUAUGAAAAUUCCUAAGCUGUGUAAGACGGAAAGCGAAGUAAUCGCUGGAACUCGGAACUCAAUUAAACCCUGAAUUAGAUUAAGCGUCGGCUUCAGUUCUUGUCUCAGAUUCUUUGCACAGGAAGGUGUGCAACAAUACCAAAGUUAUGCUGGAAUUGCUAAGCAUAUUAAAGAUCGAACCGGUCAACAAUGGCAACGAAAGUUUCACUGUAUUCAUAAUAUUGGAUCUAUUUUUAAAAUUAAAUCUUUUAAUAUGAGUUUUUAUAUAAGGCACUCUGGUAGAAACACAAUUUGACUGUACAUGAAAGCGUACAAAUGAAGUAAAUUAAAUUACUAAAUACUUCAAGAAAUUCCCACACUGUUGUUUAUUUGAUGAAAUAUCAGAUUCAUAAUCUAUCACAGAAAUAUUUCAACUCACUGUUUAUAUCGAUACGCUUAAUAGAAGUUGCAAUUGAUAAAAAUUAAGAAGAGCAACAAUUAUUACUAUUUCGUUGAAGGAUGUUUUGCUUCACAAUUAGAGUAUUUCCGAUUCUUAUCAAACUCAAGUAAAUUCUUCAAUGGCUUUGAUAGUAAAUGUACUUUAAUUGUCCUUACUACUUUCAUCUACACACACAUAAAAUAAAAGUAUCAAUAACUUUAGUAAUAAGAUCGGAGUCGCAAUUCCUGGUUCAUCAACAGAAAUCAAUUUUUUUAAAAUUGUUUUGAUUAACCGAUAGUCAACUACCUACACAAUGAGACAAAUUACUUUUACCCUGGCAAUUACAUUUACUUUGACUGUUGUUUCGUGCUAUAGUGAUACCGAUUUCCUUCACCAAUUAUCCAAACAAUACAGUCCAGCGUUAAUUGAGAGACUUUUCAAGGAUCAAGUCAAGGAACGGAUUACAGCAAUUGGUCGAGUCGCCUCAUCACCCAAUUUAAACGAUGACCAGAUUGGCCUUUGUAAUGUAACACUUUCAUCUCUAUUACUAUUCAAUGAUUACAUUGAUCAAUCUAUUCCAUCCUUUCAAACCUGUGGCUUUGCUGCUUCAGACAGAUUGAAACAUUUCAUCAAACAAUACGAAAUUAUCAUUGGUCUGUUCAAUGAUGAAUUUAAAUCAAUGAAUCUUCCUGAAGCAGCCACUUUCGAGACACCAGAUUCAUUAUUGAAACUAAUGGACUCCAAGCCUGCUGAUUUCAUUAGAUUGGCAGCUUUACAAUCAAUAGCCAGUUAUAAACAUAAUGUUGGUUUAUUUUACAAAGAGGCAAGUAGAUAUGAAUCAACAUUAGCUGAUUCAACUAUCAAGCAAUUAGACAUUCUUCACAAUGAAAUUGACAAAUUGAACAUCACAAGUCCAGCAACUCCAUCAGUCACUAAAUCACUCCGAAUAGUCUUGGAAAGGUUCAAGCUCAUCAUUAAAAUGUUUUCAUGUUCAAGAUUCUAGUUGAACUGUUAUCAAGCAACACAAACGAUUAUUUUCCUUCAAUUACUCCUAUUUAAUUUUUCAUUGUAUUCAUUUGAUUUUUAUUUGACAAUUAUUGCAUUGGUAAAUGUAAAAACGCUAUUAAACACAAUACAAUUGAAUCUAAUCUAUUAACUAAUCUCGGUUGAAUCGGGGAAAAUUUUCAGUCAAUAACAAAACAUUGGCUCUUUAAAAGCACCAUUUCGUUGAUAUCAGCCAGAAACAAUUUCUUGUGCCAUUAAAUUUGCGUGUUGAAGCUUCAAGAUGCGACAAUUGGUUUCCAACCUAAUUGUAAUCCUAAUAUCAUCAGUAGCAAUCGUUUCACCUUUAGAAGAAGCUGAUUUCCUUCGAGAUUUAUCAUCAACAUACAGUCCACCGUUAAUUGAACAAUUACUUAAAGAUCAAAUUAAUCACCGGAUAAACUCAAUUGUGGAAAUUAGACGAGAUGGUAAAAUAAAUAAAGAUCAAGUAGCUUUUUGCAACAUUACUCUUCAAUCUCUGGCAUUGUUGCAUGAUUCCGUUGAUAAAUUAUCCUCUUCGUCUCAAGACAUCAAGAUAAUUGCUGGCGAUUCACCGCCUGAUUUGCUGUACGCUAUAAAACAAUAUGAAAUUAUUGUCAAUUUGUUUAAUGAGCAGUUUGAAUUGUUGAGAUUUGCUCAAGCUGAUGUGGAGACACCGGAUUCUUUGUUGAAAUCCAUAAAUCUUAAAACUGAUCAGUGGAUUAAAUCAAGUGCUUUGAAGUCAAUUGAUAAAUAUAUUGAUCUUAUCGAGAAAUUAGCUUCAAGUGAAGUCAAAAAAUAUCCAACGUUAAUGAUUGAUCUAUCAGUCAAACAACUGAGUUCACUCAAAGUUGAAAUUGAAUCAAUUGUCACCAGCAAUACUUUAGUCUCACCAGCAAUUAAACCACUUGACUUGGCUUUGAAAAAAUUUAAGGUUAUUAUAAAAACCUUAGCAGCUUCCCAAUACAAGUAAUAACAUUGUUUUACCAGAAAUUAAAUUUUUCAUUGAAAUCUAAAUGUAAUCAGUUUAUUCAAUCUUCAAAGAAAAUUGAUUGAAAUCCGUUUUGUCCGAAUAAAUUCCAGCAUCAGUGAUCUGUA